rnacentral:rRNA from 1 species
CCUACGGGAGGCAGCAGUGGGGAAUAUUGCACAAUGGGGGAAACCCUGAUGCAGCGACGCCGCGUGAGUGAAGAAGUAUUUCGGUAUGUAAAGCUCUAUCAGCAGGGAAGAAAAUGACGGUACCUGACUAAGAAGCCCCGGCUAACUACGUGCCAGCAGCCGCGGUAAUACGUAGGGGGCAAGCGUUAUCCGGAUUUACUGGGUGUAAAGGGAGCGUAGACGGUGAUGCAAGUCAGAAGUGAAAGCCCCGGGCUCAACUCCGGGACUGCUUUUGAAACUGUGUGACUGGAGUGCAGGAGAGGUAAGCGGAAUUCCUGGUGUAGCGGUGAAAUGCGUAGAUAUCAGGAGGAACACCAGUGGCGAAGGCGGCUUACUGGACUGUAACUGACGUUGAGGCUUGAAAGCGUGGGGAGCAAACAGGAUUAGAUACCCUAGUAGUC